UCAAAUCGAGUCGAAUUAAGUUCGGUAUCAAAUUGGUUCAUUAAAUUUUUCAAAUAAGUAAUUACAUUCUGAAGCGUAGAUGUGAUUUUCAUUUUACCAUUUGCUAACCUACGAAUACCAUCGAAAAAAGUUUCAAUUCGUCAAUUUGUUGUGUUUUAUGUAAAUACUUAGUAAUUUCGAAGCUACGGUUGAUUUUUUAUUCAAGGAAUUCGUUCAAAUGUGUGAAAUCAUGAACAUAAGAAUACAAACAGUUCAGAUUUUGAUCGUCCUCUGGUUAGCUUGUGGGCAAAAUGGAAGCAGUGAGCAGACGAUGGCAAAAAGCUCUGAAGACUUACCAGCUAACCCAGAUUUACAUACAAUAUCUGUGAAGCAAGAUGUUAUCUCCUAUGAAGAUGUUAUGAAAAUUUUCAGAAACAGACGUGAAUUCGAUAGAAGGUACCCUACUGACAUGUAUUGAAUGAUAUGGCCAACUUGCAUAACGAAAUUAAUGACAUGAGUGAGGAGAACCAUUAUUUAAGAGAAGGCAUGGUAUGUGCACAACCACAAACACUCAUACGUUUAAUAGUAGAGUAAAAGCAGGUAAUACGGAGUAGGUUUCUACCGGGCCAUUCCACGUCAAUUUGAACCAAGAAGUGGUAGGGGGGUUUAGCGAUUUUUUUGAAAUGUUUCCUGUGAAAAGACCUUCCAAAAGGAUGACCGAAGGCGCAAAUCGCAGCCCUCUAGCCCAUUUUUAAAGGCAGCCAGGGGGUGUCAAAGUUUUCAGAGAACCUAAAAUUUCAUCCAUUUCAGCAGUGGAUUACUCGAUAACCGCGAUACCUACCAAAAUAAAACUUUUCCGCAUUGUUAGGGGUUUUGAAAGGCUUUUUGGUGAUAUCAUGAAAAUCAGUGUUGCCACUUUUUUUCGUACAAAAAAUUAGCUCAAAAAGUUUCAAAACGUAGUUUUCAUAUCGUUCCGACUCUCAAAAAUUCUGAAAAAAAUAUAUUAUAGACAACUUUUUAUGCUGAAUAACAUAUUAAAAAGUUGAGAUGGUACCAUGUUGCAAAGUCGAUUUAAAAAAAUUCAAAGUUUGCGAAGAAAUGCGAUUUUUUGAUUUAAAACACAAAAAAAAAUUUUGAUUGGUGAAGUUGACCCAUUUGGCCCCUAUUUUUACGUAUCUAUUGAAAAAGUUGAAAUAACCCUUUCACUCAAUGGAAUGAACUCCUCACAAAAAAAUGAAAAUUCGAAAAAAAUCAAUCUUCAAUUUCAAACAUAAAAAGAAGUUUAAAUUUAUUCAGUUGUCUUAUUUUGACCUCUUUCAAACGUAUUUCAUGAAAAAGUUGAUGAAAAUUACACUCACAAUAAAAAAAUAAAAAUUCGUAAAUUUUUGGAAUCUUUUCGAAUUUUGAUUAUUUUGUGAAGAGUUUAUUUCAUUGAGCGAAAGGGUUUUUUCAACGGUCAAUUUCGAACUUUUUUUUCAACAAAUAUUUUUAAAAUUUAUAGGUAAGUAUAGUGAAAAGCAAAUGUUUCAGUUUUUAAUAUUACCAAAAUUUUAAUUUUUCAUCAAUUUCUCUACAUUUAAGAAGGGUUUUAGUCAAUGUCUGUGUUAGGUAAAUCAAACAAUCACUGGUUUUGGUUCCGUUUUAUACAGCCUCACUCUGAUUUUCUCUGUGGUCUGUGCAUUGGAUUUUAUGACGCAUGAUUUGACGGAAAUCUUCAAAAACGUAGCUGGUGUUGACUAUAUGUAGACCAUUACUUGCCUUUAAAAGAAUGGCCAUUUUGUAUCCAAGAAAUACGGGGAUGAUAAUGGAACAAACAUAUUUUUUCAAACAUCCAUCAAACGUGUUGAAAAGUAUUGGUAUUUUCCGAUGUUGUAGAUACUUAAUGUAGGUGUACCUAUCUAUGAUUUAUUGUAAAUACGUAAAAAUAUUUUUUUUAGUUUCCAUUUUCGUUUAUUUGUUGUUGUUAUUAUUUUUUUACCAAUUAAACUGUUUCUUCAGGGUU